rnacentral:lncRNA from 1 species
GGAAGCUGUUCGGAUCGGCCUGGCACCUGCUUACCCAGCAAGCCUGGGAGCCUUAGGUUUCUACCUUCAGGGUUAUCAUGGAGCCCUCUCUGAUUGACUGAGGAAGGACACCUACCACUGGCUACCUCUGGCUGACCGCUAUGCCCUCCUGUACUGGCACAACCAAGUUGAUCCAAGACUCAGACCUGAGCUGCUCUGCUUCAGACCCUGCAGGAAGAGGAAGAGCAAUGGAUUGCAGCUGAGGACCAGCCCAGUAGCCUGCUCAAGAUGUCUGUGAGCUGCUGGAAGAGCACACGGAUCAGGCCCCUCGCUUCAGCCAGGAAUUUGGGGUGCGGAUGGCACACUGCUGCCUGGGAGUUCUGGCUGAAUUCCUGCAGAGCUUCCAGCAGUGGGUAGAGAGCUUCCAUGAGAACCCAAGCGUCCAAGAGCUGCUGAGUGACAGUUAUAUCAGCCGGACAAUUACCUUGCUCUCUACCUGA